AGCAGCCGCGGUAAUUCCAGCUCCAAUAGCGUAUAUUAAAGUUGUUGCAAUUAAAAAGCCCGUAGUUGAAUUUCGGGGUUCUACCGUUGGUCGGGCUAUUGUCUGUACUGGCGUGUAGAAUUUCUACCUUCUGGGGAACUAUCAUGUUAUUAAUUUAGCGUGGUAGGAAACCAGAACCUUUACCUUGAAAAAAUUAGAGUGUUCAAAGCAGGCUUAUGUCUGAAUACAUUAGCAUGGAAUAAUAAAAUAGGACGGUGGU
rnacentral:rRNA from 1 species